rnacentral:rRNA from 1 species
AACGAACGCUGGCGGCAUGCCUAACACAUGCGAGUCGAACGAGACCUUCGGGUCUAUUGGCGCACGGGUGCGUAACGCGUGGGAACCUGCCCUUAGGUUCGGAAUAACUCCCCGAAAGGGGUGCUAAUACCGGAUAAUGUCUUCGGACCAAAGAUUUAUCGCCUUUGGAGGGGCCCGCGUUGGAUUAGCUAGUUGGUAGGGUAAAAGCCUACCAAGGCGACGAUCCAUAGCUGGUCUGAGAGGAUGAUCAGCCACACUGGGACUGAGACACGGCCCAGACUCCUACGGGAGGCAGCAGUGGGGAAUAUUGGACAAUGGGCGAAAGCCUGAUCCAGCAAUGCCGCGUGAGUGAUGAAGGCCUUAGGGUUGUAAAGCUCUUUUACCCGGGAUGAUAAUGACAGUACCGGGAGAAUAAGCGCCGGCUAACUCCGUG